rnacentral:tRNA from 1 species
GCGGCCGUGGCCAAAUGGAUUAAGGCAUCUGGCUUCGGACCAGACGAGUGGGGGUUCGAAUCCCUCCGGCCGCGCCA